UACCUGAUCUGUAGGCUGUCUCUGGCUGCAUGUGUUGCUCCCCUGCGGUUUCAAUCAGCAGAGAGAAGCAGGGAUAAGAUGCAGCUUCCUAUCCCUGUCUCUCUCCAUACACAGCGCCACCUACUGGCCGGCGCCGGUAUUGCAGUUCAUUUUAUAUCACACAAAAUAGCAGAACAAGCUGAAAAAUCCAGGGGGGGGCAAGUGCCCCCCUUGCCCCCCCCUGUGGACGCCCAUGCACACACACACAGUCUGAAUACACAUACAGACAAACUGCUGAGUACACACACAGUCCGCUGAAUACACACCCACACACAGUCCGCUGAAUACACGCACACACACAGACUGCUGAAUACAUGUGCACACACACAGACUGCUGAAUACAUGUGCACACACACAGACUGCUGAAUAUACACACAUACUGCAUUGAGGGGUGUAGUGUAUGUGUUUGUGUGUGGGGUAUUUUGUGUGUGUGUGUGAGGGGUGCUGUGUGUGUGAGUAUAUGAGGGGUGGUGUGUGUGUGUGAGGGGUGCUGUCUUUGUGAGUAUAUGAGGGGUGGUGUGUGUGUGUGAGGGGUGCUAUGUGUAUGAGGGGCGCUGUGUGUGUGUAUGAGGGAU